CAAACUAAACAGAUUUUACAUACGAAAUACAUAAUGUAGAACACUUUGUCGAAAUCGUCAUAAAACCUGCAAUAUAGAGCAGAGACUUACAUUAAUAUUUUUGACAAAAAAUAUUUUUUAAAUAAAAAUAGUUAGAAAGUCAUAUAUUCACGGUGGUAGUAGUGGAGAUGAUAGUAGCCGUAAUAUUAACAUACGUAUGGGGGUGGGUUGUACUUGGUUCAAUUGAAGGAUUCCGUAAUUGGUGGGCUGGGUUUAAAUUUAAGAAGCUUGAGUGGAUGAUUUGGAAAACAAUUCCUAUGGCUUUGCUGUGGUCCAUCUGGAAGUGCAGGCAUGAUUGUGUCUUUAGAGGAGUUCAGCCACAGGGCAUGAUCUGGUUCAUAAUCUGCAGCUGAGUAGGGGCCACGCAUUGUGAUCUUCAAGGACUUGGUGGACUGAUGGAGUUGGGAAUCUUGGUGGCCUGACGCUUGAUGGUUGCUCCAUGCUAGUAAUGACAGGGGUGAAGCAGAGGAGUACAUCAUUGUUCAUUAUGCUGUUGCUGAUAUUGCUGUGUGAUCUAUGAGGAUUUGGGAGGUUAGUUUGGUAGUGUGAUUGGGUGGUUUUUGCCUAGCCUUUUUCUUGGAACUUGGCGAGGUGGUUAUAUGAUGGGUUGUUGAUUUUGGUGGCUAUAUGUUGGUCUCUUAUCAAUUUUUUUGGCUUGAGCUUACACAUGAUUUGAUAUUUUUCUUGGUGUCAACCUAAUUGGUAUUAGGAGGUUCAUUAUGAUGCCUGUUGCUCUUGUCUCUUUUUAUUGAUGUAUUUCAUGUGUACUGUAUUUUAUUUAUCAAUAAAAUUUAUUUUCUUUUA